rnacentral:rRNA from 1 species
UACGUAGGGGGCAAGCGUUGUCCGGAUUUAUUGGGCGUAAAGAGCGUAUAGGCGGCCUGACAAGUCUGCUGUGAAAACUCGAGGCUCAACCUCGAGAUGUCGGCGGAAACCGUCUGGCUAGAGUCCGGAAGAGGAGAGUGGAAUUCCUGGUGUAGCGGUGAAAUGCGCAGAUAUCAGGAAGAACACCUAUGGCGAAGGCAGCUCUCUGGGACGGUACUGACGCUGAGGUGCGAAAGCGUGGGGAGCAAACAGG